GCCACUCCCACAAACGUCUACGACCGCACCUUCAUAGUUUUGCAUGUUUACAAUUCUAAUUUUGAACAGAACUAAAUUUGGCUGUUUAAAAUUAGAAUUGUAAACAUGCAAAACUAUGUAGGCGCGAUCGUAGACGUUUGUGGGAGUGGU